rnacentral:rRNA from 1 species
UACAGAGGGGGGCAAGCGUUGUUCGGAAUUACUGGGCGUAAAGGGCGCGUAGGCGGCCUUCUAAGUCGAACGUGAAAUCCCUGGGCUCAACCCAGGAACUGCGUCCGAGACUGAAAGGCUUGAAUCCGGGAGAGGGAUGUGGAAUUCCAGGUGUAGCGGUGAAAUGCGUAGAUAUCUGGAGGAAUACCGGUGGCGAAGGCGGCAUCCUGGACCGACAUUGACGCUGAUGAGCGAAAGCUAGGGGAGCAAACGGG